rnacentral:lncRNA from 1 species
AGUUUUGCCUUCUGAUCAAGUUCUUGCAAAUGCUUUUCAUUCUCAAGGUCCUGCAAAUGCUUUUCCUUAGCCAGCUUCUUCAUCCUUGCAAUCUCAAUGUCCUUGCUCAUCUUCCUCCUGUACAUUUCAGCAAAAGUGAUUGGUUCCUCCAUCACAGGCUUCUCUCCUUCUCUUAUCUUCAGAGGGUAAACAGUUGCAUUUGGUGCUGGGUUUUGAAAAGUGGCUAUGGACAAACGGCUAUGGUUUGAGUUCACCACCGCUUGGUGAUCAGCAUUCUUGAACCUUCCAUUGCUCAGAUACUGCAUUCAUGUGCACCCACCACAAAAAAAUGAACAAAUUUAAAUUAUGAAAAACAAAGUACACGGUCAAACCAAUAGACUUGCUGCUUCAUAAAAAUAAAAUAAAUCAAUUGCUAAGCUGGCUAGUCUUUCUAAAAGCUUCUUGAACUUCCCUUCACAUCUCAAUAUUUUUAUUUUAAUUAACUAAUAAAAACAUAUCACUGGCUGAUAUAUAUAUAGUUAAUAAUAUCACUGAUAAAAAACAUAUAGGGUGGGAAAAAAAAUCCAUUUGAAUUAAAUCAUAUUAUAAUUAAAUCUAAAUUAAAUUGAUUUUUUUUGAAUUAAUUUAAGAAAAAAAAGAGUAUAUUAUUUUAUAAAAUUAAUUCAGUUAAUUUGAAUUAUUUAAAUAAAAUUGUUAAUCAAACUAGCUUUUAUUUGAAUAUUUUUUUUAUUUGAAAAAAAAUAAUUUGAAAAUCAAUUUUAAACUAAUUCAACUUUUAGAAUAAGUUAAAAAUUGGUUUAAAUCAGAAUUAAUUUUUUAAAAUCAUUUUUGAUUUUGAACACAUCUUUAAAUUAAUUUAACUAUUUUAAUAUAAAAUCGAAUAGGAUAAAACAAUUUAAAAACAACUGGAUUAGAUUUUAUUUUUUUUACGAAAGUAAUUUUUACACAUCCUAUUUUGUAGUAAAUUGAGAACGGAAUAAAGGCCAUAAAAUGAAAAUGAAUGAAUUGCACACUGACAUGAGCAUGAUCUCCAAGAUUGACGACGAAGGCAGCCUCCACAGGCUGAACGGUGAUCCAUGUUUUGCCAUUGUCCCUGGUGGCUUGAAGUCCACCCACUUGGUCCUGAAGCAGCAAGGUGAUAGUGCCCGGAUCCGUGUGGCGCUUCAGGCCAAGAGUGAGGUCAGGUUGAGGGCAUUUGGGGUAGUAAUUAACCACCACCUUCUGGUCCAUGUCAACACAUGCUUUGCUUAAACCCUCUUUCUCUAACCCCAUUGCUUCGGACAACACCUCCAUGAGCUUGCAAGCUAGACCCAUUACUUUGUCGCUGUAUUCCUCAGUCACCGAUCUCCACCCUUCUGGCGUGUCUGGCCACCUUGAAUAGUCCCUCUCUCUUUUUGGGUACGAAAAGUAUGUCACUAUUUCUCUCCAGUCCUGCACCGAUUCCCCCUGUCAUCACAUGUUAAUUAAUUUAAUGCUCUGGUUGGAUCAUGCACUUUCUAGAGGUGUGUCUACAUUUGAGGAAAUAGGCAAUAAUGCACCACUAUAAAUCAUAAUCAUAAUGUAUUCAAUCAAAUAUAUAAAUUGAAGUACUCUACUUAUGUCACCAAAAGGAAAAACAUAUAAUCACGAGAAUUCUGUCAAGAAAGGCUUAAAGUAAGAAGGCUUCUGGGGUGGAGGGCGUCAAGAAAUCCCCCACCAUGGGAAACAAACAAACCUAUGGCUGAACAUAGUUACACGCGCACAGCAAAAAAUAUAUGGUCUUUAACUCUGUACAAUUUUUUAACUGUUUCGUCGGUACAUUUAUUUGCAAAUUAAAUGCAAUUUAUUAUAUUUUCUAAAAUAAGGUUGUGCUUUCCUUUCUUUUUGAAAAACUACUUUAAAAUAAAAAUUAAAAUGAAAAGUUUUUAAAAAAUAAUAUUUUUAUUAACUUAAAAGAUAAUUUAAGGGAUAAUACGAAGAGAAGAAGGAGACAGUUCAAAAAGAGAUGAAAAUUUAGCUGUGCCUUCAACUAUUUUUUUUUAAAAUAAUUUUCUUACAAAAUUAAACUGCUCAUUUUUUAAAAAAAGUUUUUAGAAAUCUGUUUGUGUCCUACACGAAGUCAACAAAUAAAUUAGGCCAACCAGUGCCUAAGUUUAGGUAUACUUUAAUGCAUGCAAGAGCUCUUAUAAUAGCAAUUCAAUUCACUACAAUACGAAUUUUCCGUAAGACUUGAUUGGGAAUAAUGGUGUUGCCGUGUUGGCAUGUUAUGGGUGGUGAAUGAUAUUUAAUUAAUUAAUUUUAAUUGACAGUAAAAUCGCUCGCAUCAUUCCAUUCGUCUCAAAUUUCUACCAUCCACUUUUCCCCUUUCUUAUUAAAAUACAUCUUACUAUAUUCGGGUGUUUCCGUGGAAGGAACAGAUAAGUAGAAAGAAUAGAAAACAGGGAAAAAGAUUCACACAAUAAAACCGAAAACAAAAUAUAGGAAAAAUGAAGUGACAAUAUAUCUAUGAGAGAGAAAAAAAUGAAAAAUCUAAACUUUCAUCUCAAAAUAAAAUAAAUUAGGAUGAAUGAAGAAAAAUUUAAAAAUAAAUCAUGGUAUAAAAAAAGAUGAUGAAAAGUUGUUUGUAAAAAUUUAAGGAAAAGUAAUUUCAAAUGCAUAAUUAUUUAAAAGUGUUAGCAAUUCGUUAAAUAAUUAAGAAAUGAGUCACUAACUUUUAUGAUAGUAAUUAAGAGAUAUUGAUAUCUAACAUUAAGUAAGCAUUCUAUAUCUCUUUCUGUAACUUUAAAAAUCUUCUCUUUUUUAUUUUUUGUAAAGAAAAUAAACAUGUAAUAUUGAAGAAUUAAUGUUUACUUGGAGAUGGCUGGAGACAAUGAAUCCACCCUUUUUGGCGCCGGACAUAUCAAAACGAAGCUUCUCGUCCGGUGGCAAAGCAAAGAACUCUUUGGCGAGACGGGUCAUCUCGGCCACGAGUUGUUGAUCCACACCGUGAUCAACAACCUGGAAUAUACCCCAAUUCUCGCAAGCCUCCACGAUCUUCUCACAAAUCUCUCUUCUGCGUCCAUCCACCUCGUCGAUUCCGGCAAGAGAAAUCACUGGGAUCUCGUCGCUGAAUUCGUUGUAGGCAACCUUGGGACGCUCCUCCUCGUCCCGAACGAAGCUCGAUUCUAGGGUUUUCUCCUGGGCCAGGUAAGUCAGAGUCUUGGCUGUUGGUGCCAUUGUUGUCUUUGAGGAGAAUGUGCGUGUACGUAGUGGAAUUAAAUAGCAGAAUGCAAUGCUUCAAGUUUGAAGGAUGGGUAAGAGAAUGGAAGAUUGGGUGGUGUUUUAUAGCGUGGCAUAGAGUGGUAGCUCUUACUUAAUUACUACCUACGUGUUCCGAUGCAUUCCGCUCAACUCUACAUGUCCCUUUCACGUUGUUACCUAACUUUCUUCGCAUCUUCUUUUCUCCCUACCCAAGUCAUUAAAUACAUGAAAUUAAAUAUGUUUUUUUUAUUUUAUCAUAUUAAUUUAACUAAAAUGCACCUCUCAUGAAAUUAAUAUUUUUUUUUCUGAUUGUAAACAAACAUGAAUUCAUCACUUCUACUUUUUUAAAAAUUCUAAAAAUUAAUGACUAAAUCAUUUUAUACCAAAAUCACUUUUUUUUUUAAUAAAAACUUAAACAAACUGUUCUGUAUCUAAAUUCAUAUCCGAAUAGUUAAAGGAAUGUAUCAUAAUUAAAUUCAUUUUUAAAUUUUAAUUUAUUUUAGAAAAUAUUAUUUUCUUAUCUAGAAAUUUAAAAGCUCAAGAUAUAAUAUUCAAAUUUUACUAUAUUAAUUCUCAAUAUUAAUUAUGUGGCCUAUUUAUUAUAGAAUUGAAGAGAAAGAAAUAAUAAUAAUAAUAAACUAAAAAAUAUUAUUAAAAAUUAAUAUUAAUUUUAUGUUCAUUUUAGUUAUGAGGAUUGUUUGUCUUUCGAAGGAGAGUGAGUUGCUUAACAUUGGUAGGCAAAGCUUGUAAUAUAGACUUUGCAAGAGUCAGUCUCCCAGCAAAAGAUAACGUAUUAGCCUUCCACGCAUUAAGUUUUUGGUGAACUUUGUCAAUAAAAAAUUGGAAAGUCGAUUUAGAAGGCCUUUUAUGAAAAAUAGGCACUCCUAAAAUACUUUCCAAGAUUCCUCGUCAAUUCAAUUUCCACCUUUGAGCUCAGUUGUUGUUUUAAGUCACCCCCCUCCCCUCACAUUCUUAGAGAAGAACAUGGAAGAUUUAUCAAGACUAAUCUUUUGUCUGAAGCUCUAAAAAGAUUCAUAAUAUUAUGAAUAAAGUGGACCUGAUCAAGAAAAGCCUAAAAUAAAGGAUCAGAUCAUCUGCAAAGGCAAAAUGAUAUAUGGGAUCAUUAUGUUUGCUCAAAGAAAUAGGACUAUAGAAACAAAUAACAGAAGAAUGGAUUUGAAUUGUGCUUUUAGAAAUUUUAACUUUACUUUGAUAAAAAAAUAUGUUUAUCGUCUAAUGUGGAUUUUAUUGAAAGCAUAUAAGAGAUCUUUUUGAGAAAAUUUCUAUCAGAUGACAGAAAAAUAAUUUUUUUAAUAAAUAUAAGAAUUAAAAAUAAAUUCAAAAUUCUUUUUCAGUCAACAAAAAAAAGUAGUAAAGAAUAACACAAGAAGUUAUAUUGAUUAGUCUCUAUCCCAAGUUCAGUUCUUAGCAAUCCACGAGGUUUUCACUAAUUUAUCAAAAAUUAUAAAGUAUUUUUCAUUGUCACUUCUAUCUUUUACACAUGCAAACUUUACCUCAAGCUUAAAUUUAACCUAGUAUUUUGUGUCAUACGAGGUCUUUGCUAACUUUAGACAAAUCAACAAGAUUUGUUGGAAGUUUGCACAAUGACUAAUACGUGAUCAUCUUACAACAGAUAUAUCACUCAAUACUUUUGUCUUUUCUCUUAAGGUUUACAAGGUGUUUUAAGACCUUAAUAUCUAUACAAAAAAUAUUUUACAAGAAAAAAUGAAUGAAUAAUUCGUAAUUAGGUUCAUGACUUGUUUUUUCUUCAAAGCUUCUUCUGUAUAUAACCUUCAUCUUCGAGUAUCAGUUGUCUCACAACAAUCACUUUGUUUUUCUUCUGAAGUCUUGAGUCUGUUAGAGCAUGUCCACAUUAAAUGCACGUCUCUUUUUCAUGCAAAGAUCACGUUGGUAGACUAGUGUGUCUUGUACUUCAGCAGAAGAGUCACUUAUUUCAUUAUAGCAGGUCUACACCAAUAGAGCACGUUUAAUGAGGAUCAACGCUUCCAAACUGUGAACUGUACUUAUUCUUCAUAGGAUUUUGAUAGAUUCUAGGAGAAUAUUUUCUACAUGAAAGAAUCUCUAAUACAAAGUAUUAAAUGAAAGUCUUAAAUGCAUUACUUAAAUGUUAUGUCAAAUUGUCUUAUGAUUGUAUCGUUUAAAAAAAAAAACAAACACAAAGAUGUAGACCUUGAUUUAUUAGCACAUCAUACAACUUUAAUCAUUUGUAUUUAUUUGCAUCUAAUCAAAAUAAUCAAGAGUCUUAAUUCGUUUUAAGACAUAAAUGCCUUUUGACUUACAAGGACUCUACACUCCUUGAUCGACUACAAUAGAGAUCAAUGAGAAAAGUCAUUCAAUGCAAAGCACAAAUAAAUAUGGAAAGAAUGAAUCCCCUUGUCUAAUGCCUCUGAUGGGACAAAAUUCCUCUAGGGCUUCACCAUUAAUAUUCUAAAGAAUUCUCAUGGAAGCUAUAGCCAUACAACAACCAAUAAUUUUCUUAGAAAUCCCAACAUCAUGUAAUGUAUCCCUCUCAAAAUCCCUCUUUAGUCUAUCAUAGGCUUCUUCAAAUCAAGUUUAAUAGUCACCCAAACCUUUCUUACCUCCCUUGUUGGUCAUAGAGUGGAAAAUCUCUCGAGUCACAAUGUUAUUAUUCCCACUCGGGCUAUUAGACACAAAAUUAGAUUGGAAUAACCCUACCAACUUUCCCAUGACUGGUUUAAGUCUUUGAGAAAUGAGACGAGUUAGAGCUUUGUAAACUACAUUACACAAAUUUAGAAGUAUUCACGAAUACGAGUCAUUUAUGAAUUUGAAUUGAUCCAAUCUGAAUAGUUUAGGUCAAUUUAUGCUUCGAACAUUUGUUUAUUUUGGAAAAUAAUAAUUAUUACAAAUAAAGAAUACUGAAUGUAUUUUGUAUUUCAAAUAAUUUUUUCUUUUAUGCAUUAAGUACGUAUAUUAAAUUAUAUAUGUAUAAUUAAUAUGCUUGAUAUAACAAAUAUAAAAAAGUUGUUUUAAUUUAAUAUUAAAUUUAUUUAUUUAUUAUUAUUGUCUUUAAUUAUUUAAUAUUAACAAAAUUAUUAUAAAGAAAUUACUCAAGAAUACAGUGAGAAACUCUUUUUGCAGGUUCCAUCAUGUAUUUAGAUUUUAAGAACCGGUGAACAAGUCGCCGUCCUUUUAAUUAAUAGCAUGUUACAUUCUGUUUCAUAUAAAACCAAAUGAUCCGCUGGUGGACCAUUAAAAAGUUCUUAUUUUAAUAUAUACACAAUUUUGGAAUGACAUUUUAACUUAGGUCAACUUCAAUUGUGGAUUGACAUUUUUAACAAAAAAAAAGAAAAUGAUAUUUUUGGAAUAACGAUUUCGACGAUCAUCAACCUCCAAGUCCACCACUAGUUCUCUUCUUGGAUGUUUCAGCCGCAAUUACUUGAAUCCCUACCACCUCAAUUUUUUUUUAUUGGUCUAAAUUAACUACCUGCAUGCAUGUUUUCUUCUUCAACCAUAAAAUGAUACAAAUAUUUUAGUCCCGAAAACGCACGGCUAUAUAAAGUAGGUUUAUAUAUAUCUUGACAAAUUAUCAACUUGUAAUAAUCGAUUUCAACUGUCAAAAGAUUCAUUUGUAUAGAACAAAACCAAAACAAUACUACUAACGAACAAUUUGACUAGCAAAUAAUUAAAUAUUAACUCAAAAUUCAUUAACAUUCAGCCGAAGUACAUUUAUUUCCGAAGCAAGUCCAUUUUGGUAAAACGCCCUAAACUAAGGACAUUUGGGAACUUGAUUGCGGGUGGUGAGAUUGGCGUAGCAAGGACAAGAAUCUAGGUUUACGUAAGUGCCAGGAGCGACACACUUCCACACCGCACAGCAACUCCCACAUGCCCUCUUGCACAAACUUGGCCUUGAUGACAGCUUACACCUUCCUUCACAAGCUACUCCACAAUCUACCCAUGUACUUGCAUGAUGAAUAAGUUUGUUUAAAUUUAUUUGUUUUAAAAAAUAUUUAUUUUAAUAAAAUAAGUAGUUUUUUUUUUGUUUUUAUUAAUGCGUUUAUUUAAAUUACUUUUGAUUAAAAAAAUAACUUUUUGUUUAUUUUAAAAAGUAUAUCCUAUCUACUUCUUAAAAAUAUGUUUAUAUAAAAAAUUCUUAUUUAAAGUUUUUUUUUAAGUUUAAAAAAAUUCAUUUUUUUUGCUAAAUACAAACUCAUCCUAUAUAUCUAUUAAUUGAGGCUAGUUAAAAGAAAAAAGUUAAAUAUUUGAGGUAUGUUUUUUUAAUCUCUUAAAUUAAAAUGUUUUUUUUACUGUCUCAAAUUUGCAAAAUAUUUUUUUUAUAGUAUCCCUUGACUUUUUUUUUUUACAAUUUAAAUACAUAAUUUGUGAUGGUUUUUAAGUGCAAUAAGAAGAACUUAAAAAAAAGACUAAAAGAUAUUUAACAAAUUUCAGAUAUUAAAAAAGGAUAGACUAUUAAUUAAUUAUUUUUACAAGAGAGACUUAUUAAAUUUAAAAGAGUAAAAACAUAUUUAAGAAUUAAAAAAAAACAUUAAUUAUACACCACUAACUAUACAUCAGAAAAAUUAAUGUGGUAAAAGUAAAUAACCGUAGACUCUCACCUAUUAUUAGUUAAAAACCGUGCAUGUGAAGGUCAAACAAAAUAGUUCUUAGGGGGAUGCUAUUAUUUAAAAGGACAAUGCUAUAAUUUAUUUAGUUAGGGGGAUGCUAAUUUACCGUCUGGUGUGCAUCUGCCACAUGAAGAAGGACUUUUUAUAUUAAAUGAGAAAUUUAAGAAAAAAAAUUGUAAUCUUCUUUCAUAUGUAUCCUUUUAGUUAAUUUAUUACCAUCUUUUCUUAAUAAAGGCACAAAAAUACUUUCAAAUUCGUUGUUAUGUCAAAUAUAUAUUAACUUAAAACAUUUAAGAAGGUUUGAUACGCUUACAAAUGCUUCUACGCAUGCAUGACAUUAAUUUUAGAGAAAAUUUAACUAACAAUGUCUUGUAUCACAAAAGUUAGGUGCAUAUAUAAGAAUUUGUCUGUAUAAAAAAAUAUACAAGAAUUUGUAUUUUUUUGACAUCCAAAACCUAAGCACUUUUGACUGUAAUGGUAGACCAUGCAGCCAAUAAUUAAGACAGUGCCAGUUAUUUUCAUUUAUAAUAGAGGCAAAUAUAAGGUAUACAUAGAUAAGCUAGCUAGCUAAUAUGACACAGGCAACUGAACACAACACAUGAUAUCCCCACAAAGGAUAAACCAUAAGAUGUACAAAAGCACAAAGUUAAGGGUUAUUAUUAAUUCACGGCCCUUAAAAAACACUAAAAACACCAAGGGGGCAUGCAAAUGAUACAUAUGUAAUUAUUAUUAAUUAAGCAAGAAUCUCCUUCAAAGGCUUGGCCUCAAGUUUUGCCUUCUGAUCAAGUUCUUGCAAAUGCUUUUCGUUCUCAAGGUCCUGCAAAUGAUUUUCCUUAGCCAGCUUCUUCAUCCUUGCAAUCUCAAGGUCCUUGCUCAUCUUCCUCCUGUACAUUUCAGCAAAAGUGAUUGGUUCCUCCAUCACAGGCUUCUCUCCCUCUCUUAUCUUCAGAGGGUAAACAGUUGCAUUUGGUGCUGGGUUUU